rnacentral:rRNA from 1 species
GAGGAGCUUGCGGCAGAUUAGCUAGUUGGUAAGGUAAUGGCUUACCAAGGCUACGAUCUGUAACCGGUCUAAGAGGACGGUCGGUCACACUGACACUGAAUAACGGGUCAGACUCCUACGGGAGGCAGCAGUCGGGAAUUUUGGGCAAUGGGCGAAAGCCUGACCCAGCAACGCCGCGUGAAGGAUGAAGUAUUUCGGUAUGUAAACUUCGAAAGAAUAGGAAGAAUUAAUGACGGUACUAUUUAUAAGGUCCGGCUAACUACGUGCCAGCAGCCGCGGUAAUACGUAGGGACCAAGCGUUGUUCGGAUUUACUGGGCGUAAAGGGCGCGUAGGCGGCGUGGUAAGUCACUUGUGAAAUCUCUGAGCUCAACUCAGAACGGCCAAGUGAUACUGCUGUGCUAGAGUGCAGAAGGGGCAAUCGGAAUUCUUGGUGUAGCGGUGAAAUGCGUAGAUAUCAAGAGG